rnacentral:lncRNA from 1 species
AGAUCAUGGUUCAUUGGUCCUGGGAGAAGCCCCUGACGAUCAAGAUGGGGCUAUAUGACCAGGACAUGGAUGGGAGCCCUGACAA